rnacentral:rRNA from 1 species
AACGAACGCUGGCGGCAUGCCUAACACAUGCAAGUCGAACGAAGGCUUCGGCCUUAGUGGCGCACGGGUGCGUAACGCGUGGGAAUCUGCCCUUUGCUUCGGAAUAACAGUUAGAAAUGACUGCUAAUACCGGAUGAUGUCGCAAGACCAAAGAUUUAUCGGCAAAGGAUGAGCCCGCGUAGGAUUAGCUAGUUGGUGGGGUAAAGGCCUACCAAGGCGACGAUCCUUAGCUGGUCUGAGAGGAUGAUCAGCCACACUGGGACUGAGACACGGCCCAGACUCCACGGGAGGCAGCAGUGGGGAAUAUUGGACAAUGGGCGAAAGCCUGAUCCAGCAAUGCCGCGUGAGUGAUGAAGGCCUUAGGGUUGUAAAGCUCUUUUACCCGGGAUGAUAAUGACAGUACCGGGAGAAUAAGCUCCGGCUAACUCCGUG